rnacentral:ncRNA from 1 species
AAAAAUAUUUGUAGUUUAAUUUAAUUUAAUAAAAAUUUAUUUUAUAUAUAAAUUUUAGUGUUUAUUUUUAAUUAUUUAAAUAAUAAUUAAAUUAUUUAAUAGUAAUUAAUAUUAAAAAUUUAAGAAAUUAAGAUUUAGUAAUUUUUAAAUUAAUAACAAAUUUUGUGCCCGCAGUUGCGGUUAAACAAAAAUUAAAUUAAAUUUUAUUAGUAAUUAAUUAUAAAAUAAAAUUAUAUAUAUAUAUAAUGAAUAAUUAAAUAUUAAAUUAUUAGGGGAAAUUUUAAUUUGAUAAAAUUUUUUUUUUUUAGAAUUAAUAAAAUUUUUAAUUAAACUAGGAUUAGAUACCCUAUUAUAAAAAAGUAAAAAAAAUAAUACUAAAAUAUUAUUUAAUUAUUUGAUGAAACUUAAAUAAUUUGGCGGUAUUUUAGUUCAUUUAGAGGAAUCUGUUUAAUAAUUGAUAAUCCACGAAUAAAUUUACUUAAUUUAAAAUUUUAUAUAUCGUUGUUAAAAAAAUAUUUUUAAAUAAAAAAUAAUAUUUUAAAAUUUGAUUAAAAAAUUAUAUUAGAUCAAGAUGUAGAUUAUAAUUAAGAAUAUAAUGGAUUACAAUAAAAAUAUUUAAAUGAAUAUUAAUUUUUAAAAAUUAAUUGAAAGUGGAUUUAAAUGUAAUUUUAUUUAAUUUAUUAAAAUGAUUAAAAAUUAAAAUAUGUACAUAUUGCCCGUCACUUUCAUAUUAUAAAUUGAAAUAAGUCGUAACAAAGUAGAGGUACUGGAAAGUGUUUCUAGAAAUAC